GACGAACGCUGGCGGCGUGCUUAACACAUGCAAGUCGAACGGAAAGGCCCUGCUUUUGUGGGGUGCUCGAGUGGCGAACGGGUGAGUAACACGUGAGUAACCUGCCCUUGACUUUGGGAUAACUUCAGGAAACUGGGGCUAAUACCGGAUAGGAGCUCCUGCUGCAUGGUGGGGGUUGGAAAGUUUCGGCGGUUGGGGAUGGACUCGCGGCUUAUCAGCUUGUUGGUGGGGUAGUGGCUUACCAAGGCUUUGACGGGUAGCCGGCCUGAGAGGGUGACCGGCCACAUUGGGACUGGGGUACGGCCCAGACUCCUACGGGAGGGAGCAGUGGGGAAUAUUGCACAAUGGGCGGAAGCCUGAUGCAGCGACGCCGCGUGCGGGAUAACGGCCUUCGGGUUGUAAACCGCUUUCGCCUGUGACGAAGCGUGAGUGACGGUAAUGAGUGAAGAAGCACCGGCUAACUACGUG
rnacentral:rRNA from 1 species